rnacentral:rRNA from 1 species
AAAAAGCGGAGGAAAAGAAACCAACCGGGAUUGCCUUAGUAACGGCGAGUGAAGCGGCAAAAGCUCAAAUUUGAAAUCUGGUACCUUCGGUGCCCGAGUUGUAAUUUGGAGAGGGCAACUUUGGGGCCGUUCCUUGUCUAUGUUCCUUGGAACAGGACGUCAUAGAGGGUGAGAAUCCCGUGUGGCGAGGAGUGCGGUUCUUUGUAAAGUGCCUUCGAAGAGUCGAGUUGUUUGGGAAUGCAGCUCUAAGUGGGUGGUAAAUUCCAUCUAAAGCUAAAUAUUGGCGAGAGACCGAUAGCGAACAAGUACAGUGAUGGAAAGAUGAAAAGAACUUUGAAAAGAGAGUGAAAAAGUACGUGAAAUUGUUGAAAGGGAAGGGCAUUUGAUCAGACAUGGUGUUUUGUGCCCUCUGCUCCUUGUGGGUAGGGGAAUCUCGCAUUUCACUGGGCCAGCAUCAGUUUUGGUGGCAGGAUAAAUCCAUAGGAAUGUAGCUUGCCUCGGUAAGUAUUAUAGCCUGUGGGAAUACUGCCAGCUGGGACUGAGGACUGCGACGUAAGUCAAGGAUGCUGGCAUAAUGGUUAUAUGCCGCCCGUCUUGAAACAACGGACCA